CCUACGGGAGGCAGCAGUGAGGAAUAUUGGUCAAUGGACGAGAGUCUGAACCAGCCAAGUAGCGUGAAGGAUGACUGCCCUAUGGGUUGUAAACUUCUUUUAUAUGGGAAUAAAAUGUUCCACGUGUGGGAUUUUGUAUGUACCAUAUGAAUAAGGAUCGGCUAACUCCGCGCCAGCAGCCGCGGUAAUACGGAGGAUCCGAGCGUUAUCCGGAUUUAUUGGGUUUAAAGGGAGCGUAGGUGGAUUGUUAAGUCAGUUGUGAAAGUUUGCGGCUCAACCGUAAAAUUGCAGUUGAAACUGGCAGUCUUGAGUACAGUAGAGGUGGGCGGAAUUCGUGGUGUAGCGGUGAAAUGCUUAGAUAUCACGAAGAACUCCGAUUGCGAAGGCAGUUCACUGGACUGCAACUGACACUGAGGCUCGAAAGUGUGGGUAUCAAACAGGAUUAGAUACCCCUGUAGUC
rnacentral:rRNA from 1 species